GUUUCCUUCAGCGCAGUGAGAGGAUGUGUGACGCAGAGACGAGCGCGGUGUACAUGGUGUGAGGGAAGUCAUGACGUAAUAAGGAGGAUAUAUAAAUAUUCCAAACGUCCGUAUCCAGGAAAAUCCGGGAAUGAUAUCCCCAUGUCGCUACAUAUAAGAGAGAGAAAGAAAACUGGGAAAGGAAAGAGAAAGAGGAGGAUAAAUAUAAUUAUUUGAAUGAAUAUACAAAAAGAUAUAUAAAAAUAUAUACAUUCUAUCAGUGGAAAAUAGAUGAAAUAAAAUAGAUGAAUGGGAGCACACAAUCAAACGGAACUAAUAUAAGAAAAGAAAUAUGUGAACAUGUAUAAAUAAUACACGUUGACAUAAAAAAGUAGGAUAAUGGUCCCCCAUAAACAGCAAGUGUUUCCAUCAUAGGAGUCAGAGGGGACUACAAAGCACUAUAACUUAGCAAUAGGAGGGGCAAUCAUCAUGGUGUAAACAGGCUACAGCAUUGUCAAUAAAACAGUCGAUAAAACUGGUUGAUGGUAUUGAGACUUGGAAAGGUAGUCUACACUACUGCCAUAAGGCAGAGGAUACCUUUGUCACACAUGGUGACCAGGCUGCAUGCAGAUCAAUACCAACCUCUGAAUUAAACCUAAGUCAUCAAUCAGACUGCAAGAAAGGACAGUGCAGGUCACAGUCGGAUGGAUAAUCUCAAUUCUCAGCUGAGCUUUUACCCUGUCUGCCCUGAAAGCUGCACUUAUCCAGGAAAGUGGUUCUGCAUCCGAUUUGAGGCCAGACAGAGAGCAAAUAAUACCAACUUUCUGGGGGUAACCAGCAGAUGUACAGUGAUUACUGAAAUCAGGUAUUUGACAUUAGUCUCCUAAUAGACCUAGAACCAUUUUAAAACACUUCUUAAAGAAAAUUACUGACAUAGCAAUUUCAUAUACUAUAUAAAUUAUAUUGUAUUAUACUAAAUCCCACCCCCGGGUAGGGGUUAAAAGCACCUUCACCAGCAUACAUUUAGAUUUGCAAACUUCUGCUUUUGAACCAUGCAGUAUGUGUUUGAUAAGCAACAAGUGCCCACAAGGUGUGCCGAUCACUUCAAGUGCCCAGCAUUUCUGUCCCCUAUUCGCUGCUUACCUCCGCCUUCUGCAUUUGAUUGACUGAGCCUCUGUACAUGUGUGCUUUUAAGGAUGGAAUAGCUGAUUACUUGUGACUGCCCCCACCCUGAGGGCACUUGUGGCUCAUGUUUAUAUAUAAAAAAAAAAUAUCACAUGGAAUUUGUUGAGUCGGUGCUUAUUGUGAUGUAGAUUUUGAUGUGCCUUUUCAGAUAGUCUAGCUUUAAAGCUCUUAUUUUUUUCAAUGUGAGAUUUCAAAUAUAGAA